rnacentral:rRNA from 1 species
GCUCUUUCGUGAGGGAAGAAACGGUCAAAGUGAAUAGCUUUGGUCACUGACGGUACCUCAAGAAGAAGCACCGGCUAACUACGUGCCAGCAGCCGCGGUAAUACGUAGGGUGCGAGCGUUAAUCGGAAUUACUGGGCGUAAAGCGUGCGCAGGCGGUUUGUUAAGUCAGAUGUGAAAGCCCCGGGCUUAACCUGGGAACUGCGUUUGAGACUGGCAAGCUAGAGUCUGUCAGAGGGGGGUAGAAUUCCACGUGUAGCAGUGAAAUGCGUAGAGAUGUGGAGGAAUACCGAUGGCGAAGGCAGCCCCCUGGGAUAAGACUGACGCUCAUGCACGAAAGCGUGGGGAGCAAACAGGAUUAGAUACCCUGGUAGUCCACGCCCUAAACGAUGUCAACUGGUUGUUGGGUAACUUGUUUACUUAGUAACGAAGCUAACGCGAGAAGUUGACCGCCUGGGGAGUACGGUCGCAAGAUUAAAACUCAAG